rnacentral:rRNA from 1 species
GACGGGGGCUGCAAGCGUUAUCCGGAAUCACUGGGCGUAAAGCGUCUGUAGGUGGUGAUGCAAGUCACUGGUGCAAAACUCUGGCUCCACCGGAGGAAAGCCAGUGAAACUGCAUGACUAGAGUGUGGGAGAGGUAGAAGGAAUUCCCUGAGUAGCGGUGAAAUGCGUAGAUACAGGGAAGAACACCGGAGGCGAAAGCGUUCUCCUGGAACACAACUGACACUGAGAGACGAAAGCUAGGGGAGCGAAUGGG